rnacentral:tRNA from 1 species
GGGGCCUUAGUUUAAUUAAAACGUUUGAUUUGCAAUCAUAAGAUGUAGAGUAAAAUCUGCAGGUCCUA